rfam:Schistosoma curassoni strain Dakar, Senegal genome assembly, scaffold: SCTD_contig0004898
GUCCAGCUGAAGGGUCCUAAAUAGGACCGAACGCGCGUUCUGGAU